rnacentral:sRNA from 1 species
AAAUAUGCGUUAGGGAUUGCAGCGGCAUCCUUUUAGUACGAAGCUGAGCCUGUCGAAGCAUCGUACUAAAAGAUAAAGCGAAAAGCCCGGCCCGAA